rnacentral:rRNA from 1 species
AUUGAACGCUGGCGGCAGGCUUAACACACGCAAGUCGAGCGGGGGAAGGUAGCUUGCUACCGGACCUAGCGGCGGACGGGUGAGUAAUGCUUAGGAAUCUGCCUAUUAGUGGGGGACAACAUAUCGAAAGGGAUGCUAAUACCGCAUACGUACUACGGGAGCAAGCAGGGGAUCUUCGGAACUUGCGCUAAUAGAUGAGCCUAAGUCGGAUUAGCUAGUUGGUGGGGUAAAGGCCUACCAAGGCGACGAUCUGUAGCGGGUCUGAGAGGAUGAUCCGCCACACUGGGACUGAGACACGGCCCAGACUCCUACGGGAGGCAGCAGUGGGGAAUAUUGGACAAUGGGGGGAACCCUGAUCCAGCCAUGCCGCGUGUGUGAAGAAGGCCUUAUGGUUGUAAAGCACUUUAAGCGAGGAGGAGGCUACUUUAGUUAAUACCUAGAGAUAGUGGACGUUACUCGCAGAAUAAGCACCGGCUAACUCUGUGCCAGCCGCCGCAGUAA